AGUAAGCAAAGAAAACCACAUCUGUUAAUCGCUUUUCCUUCACAAAAUCCACUUAUUUCAUAAACACUAACGCCGAGUUGUGUAACAAGGGGCUAGGAGGGUGAGUCGAUGUUGCUCACGUUGAGGUUUGGCCUCUAAAUACAGGUCGCCUGCUGGAGAGCCGUUGUUGGUGUCAGGGGUCAGUAUAAACAGCGUUUAGAGUUUGCUUUUUCAGAGGGAGCUUUCUGUUGUUGUAGGGAUAAUUUUUUUUUUGGCCUUGGACCCUUUCUCUUCUGCCAGGAGUUCAACACGAUCCUUUGUCAUUCUCUGGGGAAGCUUUCAAACUCACCACUGUGGUUUUGAAUCGGCUUUCAAUAAAAGGUGUCGUGCUUCUGAAGUGCCCUGCCCAAGGGCUCUAGAGCACUCCACACAAUCCAAACAGCCAGCAGACAAAGCCAUUAAAUGUGAAGUGCCUGUGCGUGAUUACCUGGCAGAAAGCUGCAGGAGAGUGUUUGCAGCUGAGUCCCACAGGAAUAGGCUUUGUCUGAAAAACCACCCUCAGCAGGUGAUAACUCCGGAAAAAGUCAAGAGUGAAACCCCGUAAGUGUAACUCCUCUACUGCCUCUGAGCUCCUCCAGCCUCCAUCUCCUGGCAGCUCUUCAAUUCUGAACACGUAGCUUCAUUUUACCUUAGCACGACACCAACUGGAGCAGCUUCUUUCAGGGCUGCUGAUGUCUCUCCUGUAUCUCCCUGCUGGUCAUCCAAGGCUUGUCCUGCAGCUGCGGAGGAUCAGGCAGGUCUGUGCCUGGGAGCAGGGACCUCGGUGUCAUGGAGGGAUACCAUGAGAUCUCCAAGCUCCAGUCCUCAGCCUGCAGCCUGGAGGAGAAAGCCAAAGCAGGCAGAUUUAACAGCCACAGCAGGAGAGGAGGGAAUCCCUCCCUUCCAGGAGGGCAGGCAUGCUGCAAGCAGCACUCGGACAUGUCAGAUCCCACGGAUGCUGAGCCAUUCCCCCUUUCUCCAUCCAAGCCGCUUCCUAACAGGGAGAGAGGGGUCAAAUCAAAGGCGGCAGGAUUAUUUAUCAAGGUGUUUGUUUGAAGUUGAGGGGACAGGAAUCACAUUUCAAAACUGUAAGAGAAAGAGCUUUUUAGCUCUCUUCCUUUCUCCAAAAUAGCAACCGCAUCACCGCGCACCACAGGGAUGUCAGGGCGAAUCUGUUUCACUGACAACAAGAUUGUUCUGUCUAGACAGGGAAGCACUGAUGAACUGAGUGAGUCUGCAGAAUAAUUUAAAGCCCAAAUACUUAACAGACAUUAAAUUUAAAAUAAAACCAUGGCUUGGCAGAGAUGAUGCUUGAUGGAUAG